AGGACGCUUCCUUCGGGAAGCGAGCGUACACAGGUGGUGCAUGGCCGUCGUCAGUUCGUACUGUGAAGCAUCCUGUUAAGUCAGGCAACGAGCGAGACCCACGUCCACAGUUGCCAGCAUACCCUCCGGGGUGAUGGGUACACUGUGGAGACCGCCGCUGCUAAAGCGGAGGAAGGAGUGGGCAACGGUAGGUCAGUAUGCCCCGAAUCUCCCGGGCUACACGCGGGCUACAAUGGUUGGUACAAUGGGCAUCUACCCCGAAAGGGGAAGGAAAUCUCUUAAAGCCAAUCGUAGUUCGGAUUGAGGGCUGCAACUCGCCCUCAUGAAGCUGGAAUCCGUAGUAAUCGCGUUUCAACAGAACGCGGUGAAUACGUCCCUGCUCCUU
rnacentral:rRNA from 1 species